rnacentral:rRNA from 1 species
AGAGUUUGAUCAUGGCUCAGAAUCAACGCUGGCGGCGUGCCUAACACAUGCAAGUCGCACGAGAAAGGGGAGCAAUCCCUGAGUAAAGUGGCGCACGGGUGAGUAACACGUGACUAACCUACCCUCGAGUGGGGAAUAACCUAGAGAAAUCUGGGCUAAUACCGCAUAACACUUACGAGUCAAAGCAGCAAUGCGCUUGGGGAGGGGGUCGCGGCCGAUUAGCUAGUUGGCGGGGUAAUGGCCCACCAAGGCGAUGAUCGGUAUCCGGCCUGAGAGGGCGCACGGACACACUGGAACUGAAACACGGUCCAGACUCCUACGGGAGGCAGCAGUGGGGAAUUUUGCGCAAUGGGGGAAACCCUGACGCAGCAACGCCGCGUGGAGGAUGAAAUAUCUUGGUAUGUAAACUCCUUUCGAUGGGGAAGAUUAUGACGGUACCCAUAGAAGAAGCCCCGGCUAACUUCGUGCCAGCAGCCGCGGUAAUACGAGGGGGGCAAGCGUUGUUCGGAUUUAUUGGGCGUAAAGGGUGCGUAGGCGGUUUGGCAAGUCUGAUGUGAAAUCUAUGGGCUCAACCCAUAGUCUGCAUCAGAAACUGCCGGGCUAGAGUAUGGGAGAGGUGAGUGGAAUUUCCGGUGUAGCGGUGAAAUGCGUAGAUAUCGGAAGGAACACCUGUGGCGAAAGCGGCUCACUGGACCAUUACUGACGCUGAUGUACGAAAGCUAGGGGAGCAAACAGGAUUAGAUACCCUAGUAGUCC